rnacentral:tRNA from 1 species
GUCUCUGUGGCUUAAUGGGUCAGCGCUUUCUGUUAUUAACUGAAAGGAUGGUGGUUCGAGCCCACCCAGGAACG